rnacentral:rRNA from 1 species
UGUCCCUACGGGGGGCAGCAGUGGGGAAUAUUGCACAAUGGGGGAAACCCUGAUGCAGCAACGCCGCGUGAGUGAGGAAGUAUUUCGGUAUGUAAAGCUCUAUCAGCAGGGAAUAGAAAAGAAGGUACCUGAAAAAGAAGCCCCGGCUAACUACGUGCCAGCAGCCGCGGUAAUACGUAGGGGGCAAGCGUUAUCCGGAUUUACUGGGUGUAAAGGGAGCGUAGACGGCUUGGCAAGCCAGAUGUGAAAGGCUGGGGCUCAACCCCAGGACUGCAUUUGGAACUGUCAUGCUAGAGUGUCGGAGG